GUCCAGAAAACGAUGUGGUAAUUUCCAAGCACAUAUCUGAUGACUCCAUCGUCGAAUUUAACUACUCUUGAGUUUUCCUGGAC